rnacentral:rRNA from 1 species
ACACGACUACAUUUAGAUACCCCUGUAGUCCUAGGCGUAAAUGAUGCGAGUUAAGUNUGGGGGCAUCUACGAGAUGGCCCUGUGCUGUAGGGUAGCCGUUAAACUCGCUGCCUGGGGAGUACGGUCGCAAGGCUGAAACUUAAAGGAAUUGGCGGGGAGCACCACAAGAGGUGGAGGCUGCGGUUCAAUUGGACUCAACGCCGGAAAACUCAUCGGGAGCGACAGCAGUAUGAUUGCCAGGUUGAUGACCUUGCUUGACAAGCUG